UACGUAGGGUGCGAGCGUUGUCCGGAAUUAUUGGGCGUAAAGAGUGCGUAGGCGGUCUGUCGCGUCGGGUGUGAAAAUCCAGGGCUCAACCCUGGACCUGCAUUCGAUACGGGCAGACUAGAGUUCGGCAGGGGAGAGUGGAAUUCCUGGUGUAGCGGUGAAAUGCGCAGAUAUCAGGAGGAACACCGGUGGCGAAGGCGGGUCUCUGGGCCGAUACUGACGCUGAGGAGCGAAAGCGUGGGGAGCGAACAGG
rnacentral:rRNA from 1 species